UACAGAGGUCUCAAGCGUUGUUCGGAUUCAUUGGGCGUAAAGGGUGCGUAGGCGGCGCGGUAAGUCGGGUGUGAAAUCUCGGGGCUUAACUCCGAAACUGCAUUCGAUACUGCCGUGCUUGAGGACUGGAGAGGAGACGUGGAAUUUACGGUGUAGCGGUGAAAUGCGCAGAUAUCGGGAGGAACACCAGUGGCGAAGGCGGUUGGCCUGGAGCUUUGGCUGACGCUGAUGCGCGAAAGCGUGGGGAGC
rnacentral:rRNA from 1 species